rnacentral:rRNA from 1 species
GACGAACGCUGGCGGCGUGCCUAAUACAUGCAAGUAGAACGCAGUUGCGAACGGGUGAGUAACGCGUAGGUAACUGCCUGGUAGCGGGGGAUAACUAUUGGAAACGAUAGCUAAUACCGCAUACUACCAGAUGGACCUGCGUUGUAUUAGCUAGUUGGUGAGGUAACGGCUCACCAAGGCAACGAUACAUAGCCGAACUGAGACGGUGAUCGGGCACACUGGGGCUGAGACACGGGCCAGACACGUACGGGAGGCAGCAGUAGGGAAUCAUCGGAAAUGGGGGGAAACCUGACCGGGCAACGCCGCGUGAGUGAAGAAGGUUUUCGGGUCGUAAAGCUCUGUUGUUAAGGAAGCGGUACUUAACCAGAAAGGGAAGGCUAACUGCGUGCCAGCAGCCACGGUAAGAC